GAAGCCGACAGCCGCGAACGCCGCGCUGGAGGGAGGGCGCACCGAGAGAGGGAGGGCGCGGAGAAAGGAGGGAGCUAAGAAGGGAGGGAGGGCAUCGAGGAGGGAGGGCGCGCCGAAGGAGGGAGGACGCAGAGAAAGGAGGGAGUAAGGAGGGAGGGAGGGCGCAGAGGAAGGAGGGCGAGGGUGUGAGGCCGCGGGGAGACUGGGGUUGGCCUGGAGGCCUCCCUGGCCUGGAGAGAGACGGCCGGGGUGCGGGAGGCUGGAUCGGGUGAGGGCAAACCCAGGGCAAGCGCUGCCUGUGAAUGGCUCCAAGAUGAGUAUGCCCAACGUUGCCUCUAGCACUGAUCCCACGCUCUCCUGGAAACAAUAACCAAGAAAGGCUUCUUUGCUGUCCCCGCGCGGUUAAAAAAAAAAAAAGUAUCCUUUUCUCUCUACAGAAACUCAAGAACAGGAAUAGAAGUCCAUCCUUCCAAUAUCCUCCCAUGCCCUCAUGGCAGUCAGGUGACCUAAAUUGACGAGCCUUUUCUCUGCCCCAGGCCGGCCUAUGCGCCCCAAACUGCUCCCUUAGCUCUUCCUCCUUUGCAUACCCUCUCUUAGCCUUGGAUAACUUCUCAGUUUCCGUUCUUGCUGAAGGCGCCAGGCAUCCUGUCUCCAGAGGAAACCCCUUCAAGCCUUUAACCCUGAUGCCGUGGGCUCUAGAAUUGCCUGGACUGCAAACAGUGCAGAAACCACCCUGCAGGACUGUCCAUUUCAGGAGUCAGCACAGUGUUACCCAGUUCCUAGCUUGAGCACCCUGGGGCUACAAGGAAAGUAUUAGAUCCAGUCCCCCUUCCCCCGGAAGCUUGCUAUCUAGUUGCAGAGAAGGGGUGGCGGGUGUUGUGCUGGACUCCCAUCAAGAAACAGGCGGCACAGGAUGUGACUAAGUGUAAGUAAGAUGUGAAUAACUGACAGUAAGUGCCCAGGGUUUUAACGGAGUUUAAAGUCAUCGUCAGGGGAAGCUGGAGGUCUCAUGUGUUGGGACUCUCCAAUUCACAACAAAACGAAGAGGUGGCCUCCAGCUUCUUCCAUUCCGGCUGUUUCCAUCUGAAUUAUACCUUGCAUAGGUGGAAGCUCUUUGGCAGCUCACCAAAACCUAGUUUUAUUUGAAUGGUACCUUUGGCCUGACAGUCACCUAGUCACUCAACAAAUAUUUAUUACAUUUCAUGUCCUGGUCUGGAGCUAAGCUGGGAAUAGACAAUACAAUGACUAUGUCUCUGUGUUUGGCAAGGGAAAAAGAAGAAGGCAAAAGAAAAACUGCUCGGGGAGAAAGAACAACUGAAAUAUGUCUGGCAAGUUGAUUCAAGAAACAGUUGCCCGGCCUCCAAACCUGGAUAAGUCUUCACCAAACUAGGUACAAAGACAAGUUCUUGCUAAAGGUAGACUGAGAAGUGUAAGGAAGAAGACCCAGGGGGACACACUGGAAUGCGCUACAAGUGUAGGCUUGUGAAACAAGCAUUGUGAAACAACUCACUUGUCCUUCCCGGAGAAUGUUCCUCAGUAGUGGCAGAUGCUCUGGAGUGAGAUCUCGAAGUGAUCUGAUACCCCGGCGAUGGCAGAUGGCGAUCAAAUACAGGUCAUCAAGCUGUGCAGAGACCACAGGACAAAACAAGACAAUGCUAGUUUUAGCAAGGAGGCUACCAGCCAGGGCACUCCUACCCCCCAAGGCCAAUCCAGAAGACCCUACAGCAGAGCCAAUGAGCGGGUACCCGAGGUAUGUCUGCCCUGGAUGUCAAGGGAUAGCUGAAGAACAAGAUUUCUGUGUAUUCUUUGGAACUAGGUGUGGUGGUACACGCCUGUAAUCCCAGCACUCAAGCAGAAGGACUGAGGGUUCAAAGUCUCUCUGGGCUAUACAGCAAGACCCUUUCAAAAAAGAAAUUGAGAAAGGAAGAAAAACUAUAAAACAAAAAUUUCCAUCUGGGAAUGUUUACAUAAACUAAGGAGUUGACAGGAAGAGACGGGCAAGUUCUGAAAGCCAAGCACAAAAGUCUUUGUCCUGAAGAAUUUACAACUUCACUUAAGUGCAUGUCGUUCUCCUGUAUGAAAUAAAUGUUGCAUAAAAGCA
rnacentral:lncRNA from 1 species